rnacentral:rRNA from 1 species
UACGUAGGGUCCGAGCGUUGUCCGGAUUUAUUGGGCGUAAAGAGCUCGUAGGCGGUUCCGUAAGUCAGAUGUGAAAACUCAGGGCUCAACCCGGAGACGCCAUCUGAUACAGCGGUGACUGGAGUCUGGUAGGGGAACACGGAAUUCCUGGUGUAGCGGUGAAAUGCGCAGAUAUCAGGAGGAACACCGAUGGCGAAGGCAGUGUUCUGGGCCAGUACUGACGCUGAGGAGCGAAAGCGUGGGGAGCAAACAGG